rnacentral:rRNA from 1 species
AAUCCAUAGGUUAAUGAGGCGAACCGGGGGAACUGAAACAUCUAAGUACCCCGAGGAAAAGAAAUCAACCGAGAUUCCCCCAGUAGCGGCGAGCGAACGGGGAGGAGCCCAGAGCCUGAAUCAGCAUGUGUGUUAGUGGAAGCGUCUGGAAAGGCGCGCGAUACAGGGUGACAGCCCCGUACACAAAAGCGCAUGUGCUGUGAGCUCGAUGAGUAGGGCGGGACACGUGGUAUCCUGUCUGAAUAUGGGGGGACCAUCCUCCAAGGCUAAAUACUCCUGACUGACCGAUAGUGAACCAGUACCGUGAGGGAAAGGCGAAAAGAACCCCGGCGAGGGGAGUGAAAAAGAACCUGAAACCGUGUACGUACAAGCAGUGGGAGCACAGGUUUACCUGUGUGACUGCGUACCUUUUGUAUAAUGGGUCAGCGACUUAUAUUCUGUAGCAAGGUUAACCGAAUAGGGGAGCCGGAGGGAAACCGAGUCUUAAUUGGGCGUUAAGUUGCAGGGUAUAGACCCGAAACCCGGUGAUCUAGCCAUGGGCAGGUUGAAGGUUGGGUAACACUAACUGGAGGACCGAACCGACUAAUGUUGAAAAAUUAGCGGAUGACCUGUGGCUGGGGGUGAAAGGCCAAUCAAACCGGGAGAUAGCUGGUUCUCCCCGAAAGCUAUUUAGGUAGCGCCUCGUGAAUUCAUCUCCGGGGGUAGAGCACUGUUUCGGCUAGGGGGCCAUCCCGGCUUACCAACCCGAUGCAAACUGCGAAUACCGGAGAAUGUUAUCACGGGAGACACACGGCGGGUGCUAACGUCCGUCGUGAAGAGGGAAACAACCCAGACCGCCAGCUAAGGUCCCAAAGUCAUGGUUAAGUGGGAAACGAUGUGGGAAGGCCCAGACAGCCAGGAUGUUGGCUUAGAAGCAGCCAUCAUUUAAAGAAAGCGUAAUAGCUCACUGGUCGAGUCGGCCUGCGCGGAAGAUGUAACGGGGCUAAACCAUGCACCGAAGCUGCGGCAGCGACACUGUGUGUUGUUGGGUAGGGGAGCGUUCUGUAAGCCUGCGAAGGUGGCCUGUGAGGGUUGCUGGAGGUAUCAGAAGUGCGAAUGCUGACAUAAGUAACGAUAAAGCGGGUGAAAAGCCCGCUCGCCGGAAGACCAAGGGUUCCUGUCCAACGUUAAUCGGGGCAGGGUGAGUCGACCCCUAAGGCGAGGCCGAAAGGCGUAGUCGAUGGGAAACGGGUUAAUAUUCCCGUACUUGGUGUUACUGCGAAGGGGGGACGGAGAAGGCUAUGUUGGCCGGGCGACGGUUGUCCCGGUUUAAGCGUGUAGGUGUGUGUUCCAGGUAAAUCCGGUUCACUUUAACACUGAGGCGUGACGACGAGGCACUACGGUGCUGAAGCAACAAAUGCCCUGCUUCCAGGAAAAGCCUCUAAGCAUCAGGUAACAUCAAAUCGUACCCCAAACCGACACAGGUGGUCAGGUAGAGAAUACCAAGGCGCUUGAGAGAACUCGGGUGAAGGAACUAGGCAAAAUGGUGCCGUAACUUCGGGAGAAGGCACGCUGACACGUAGGUGAAGUGAUUUACUCAUGGAGCUGAAGUCAGUCGAAGAUACCAGCUGGCUGCAACUGUUUAUUAAAAACACAGCACUGUGCAAACACGAAAGUGGACGUAUACGGUGUGACGCCUGCCCGGUGCCGGAAGGUUAAUUGAUGGGGUCAGCGCAAGCGAAGCUCCUGAUCGAAGCCCCGGUAAACGGCGGCCGUAACUAUAACGGUCCUAAGGUAGCGAAAUUCCUUGUCGGGUAAGUUCCGACCUGCACGAAUGGCGUAAUGAUGGCCAGGCUGUCUCCACCCGAGACUCAGUGAAAUUGAACUCGCUGUGAAGAUGCAGUGUACCCGCGGCAAGACGGAAAGACCCCGUGAACCUUUACUAUAGCUUGACACUGAACAUUGAGCCUUGAUGUGUAGGAUAGGUGGGAGGCUUUGAAGUGUGGACGCCAGUCUGCAUGGAGCCGACCUUGAAAUACCACCCUUUAAUGUUUGAUGUUCUAACGUGGACCCGUUACCCGGGUUGCGGACAGUGUCUGGUGGGUAGUUUGACUGGGGCGGUCUCCUCCUAAAGAGUAACGGAGGAGCACGAAGGUUGGCUAAUCCUGGUCGGACAUCAGGAGGUUAGUGCAAUGGCAUAAGCCAGCUUGACUGCGAGCGUGACGGCGCGAGCAGGUGCGAAAGCAGGUCAUAGUGAUCCGGUGGUUCUGAAUGGAAGGGCCAUCGCUCAACGGAUAAAAGGUACUCCGGGGAUAACAGGCUGAUACCGCCCAAGAGUUCAUAUCGACGGCGGUGUUUGGCACCUCGAUGUCGGCUCAUCACAUCCUGGGGCUGAAGUAGGUCCCAAGGGUAUGGCUGUUCGCCAUUUAAAGUGGUACGCGAGCUGGGUUUAGAACGUCGUGAGACAGUUCGGUCCCUAUCUGCCGUGGGCGCUGGAGAACUGAGGGGGGCUGCUCCUAGUACGAGAGGACCGGAGUGGACGCAUCACUGGUGUUCGGGUUGUCAUGCCAAUGGCACUGCCCGGUAGCUAAAUGCGGAAGAGAUAAGUGCUGAAAGCAUCUAAGCACGAAACUUGCCCCGAGAUGAGUUCUCCCUGAGACUUAAAGUC